CUGAAUUCAAGCUUCAAAACAAUGGCGGCAGACAGUUUGUAAAUCAGCACAGUUGUGUUGCGGAUGUACUCCGAUCGUUGGCUCUACCAGGAACAUAUGAAGGGAAAAUCUGUCAUUUAGGAACUUCCCUAAAGAACUUUGUGCGUCUGAAAUCACUGGAUCUUUCGCAUAAUGCACUGGUCACAGUUCAGGGGAUUGAGCGUUUGGAAAUGCUGGAGAGACUGAAUCUGUAGCUACUACAACAGGACAUCUUUUCCCUGCACAAGCUGCUGAAUCCUGUGGUCAAGAAACACCCGCUCCACUGUUUGUACCUGGUGCAUGCAAUGACCAAACUGCGCAAGCUUGAUGACUGUCCAGUGCGAGACCGAGAAAGAAAGGCGGCUCUCAUGCAUUUCUCAUCAGAGGCAAAUCUAGACACUAAUCAUAAGAACUAUAUCUUGAUACAAGACACAAGAUGCAGAAGUAGUGAGUCCAGAAUAAAAGCGAUGAUGAAGAUGCUCUGGCUUCUAGAGGGGAACGAGGAAACUUAAUCAUGUCUCUAGAAAGACCUGGACUUGCAAGAGACCUGAAACUCUCUCCGUCCACAGCCCCCGUCUGUAACAGGAAAAUCCUUCCGAAUCUGAUAUCAUACAUUUAAUCAAUGAUCCUGAGUGUGAAAGUUCGCCAAAACAAAAUA